CCUACGGGAGGCAGCAGUGGGGAAUAUUGCACAAUGGGCGAAAGCCUGAUGCAGCAACGCCGCGUGAGCGAUGAAGGCCUUCGGGUCGUAAAGCUCUGUCCUCAAGGAAGAUAAUGACGGUACUUGAGGAGGAAGCCCCGGCUAACUACGUGCCAGCAGCCGCGGUAAUACGUAGGGGGCUAGCGUUAUCCGGAAUUACUGGGCGUAAAGGGUGCGUAGGUGGUUUCUUAAGUCAGAGGUGAAAGGCUACGGCUCAACCGUAGUAAGCCUUUGAAACUGAGAAACUUGAGUGCAGGAGAGGAGAGUAGAAUUCCUAGUGUAGCGGUGAAAUGCGUAGAUAUUAGGAGGAAUACCAGUUGCGAAGGCGGCUCUCUGGACUGUAACUGACACUGAGGCACGAAAGCGUGGGGAGCAAACAGGAUUAGAUACCCUGGUAGUCCACGCCGUAAACGAUGAGUACUAGCUGUCGGAGGUUACCCCCUUCGGUGGCGCAGCUAACGCAUUAAGUACUCCGCCUGGGAAGUACGCUCGCAAGAGUGAAACUCAAAGGAAUUGACGG
rnacentral:rRNA from 1 species